UACGGGGGGGGUAAGCGUUGUUCGGAAUUACUGGGCGUAAAGGGCUCGUAGGCGGCCAACUAGGACAUACGUGAAAUCCCUCAGCUUAACUGGGGAACUGCGUGUGAUACUGGAUGGCUUGGAUUUGGGAGAGGGAUGCGGAAUUCCAGGUGUAGCGGUGAAAUGCGUAGAUAUCUGGAGGAACACCGGUGGCGAAGGCGGCAUCCUGGACCAAUAUUGACGCUGAGGAGCGAAAGCCAGGGGAGCAAACGGG
rnacentral:rRNA from 1 species